rnacentral:rRNA from 1 species
GAUGAACGCUGGCGACGUGCCUAAUACAUGCAAGUCGAGCGAACGGACGAGAAGCUUGCUUCUCUGAUGUUAGCGGCGGACGGGUGAGUAACACGUGGAUAACCUACCUAUAAGACUGGGAUAACUUCGGGAAACCGGAGCUAAUACCGGAUAAUAUUUUGAACCGCAUGGUUCAAAAGUGAAAGACGGUCUUGCUGUCACUUAUAGAUGGAUCCGCGCUGCAUUAGCUAGUUGGUAAGGUAACGGCUUACCAAGGCAACGAUGCAUAGCCGACCUGAGAGGGUGAUCGGCCACACUGGAACUGAGACACGGUCCAGACUCCUACGGGAGGCAGCAGUAGGGAAUCUUCCGCAAUGGGCGAAAGCCUGACGGAGCAACGCCGCGUGAGUGAUGAAGGUCUUCGGAUCGUAAAACUCUGUUAUUAGGGAAGAACAUAUGUGUAAGUAACUGUGCACAUCUUGACGGUACCUAAUCAGAAAGCCACGGCUAACUACGUGCCAGCAGCCGCGGUAAUACGUAGGUGGCAAGCGUUAUCCGGAAUUAUUGGGCGUAAAGCGCGCGUAGGCGGUUUUUUAAGUCUGAUGUGAAAGCCCACGGCUCAACCGUGGAGGGUCAUUGGAAACUGGAAAACUUGAGUGCAGAAGAGGAAAGUGGAAUUCCAUGUGUAGCGGUGAAAUGCGCAGAGAUAUGGAGGAACACCAGUGGCGAAGGCGACUUUCUGGUCUGUAACUGACGCUGAUGUGCGAAAGCGUGGGGAUCAAACAGGAUUAGAUACCCUGGUAGUCCACGCCGUAAACGAUGAGUGCUAAGUGUUAGGGGGUUUCCGCCCCUUAGUGCUGCAGCUAACGCAUUAAGCACUCCGCCUGGGGAGUACGACCGCAAGGUUGAAACUCAAAGGAAUUGACGGGGACCCGCACAAGCGGUGGAGCAUGUGGUUUAAUUCGAAGCAACGCGAAGAACCUUACCAAAUCUUGACAUCCUUUGACAACUCUAGAGAUAGAGCCUUCCCCUUCGGGGGGGCAAAGUGACAGGUGGUGCAUGGUUGUCGUCAGCUCGUGUCGUGAGAUGUUGGGUUAAGUCCCGCAACGAGCGCAACCCUUAAGCUUAGUUGCCAUCAUUAAGUUGGGCACUCUAAGUUGACUGCCGGUGACAAACCGGAGGAAGGUGGGGAUGACGUCAAAUCAUCAUGCCCCUUAUGAUUUGGGCUACACACGUGCUACAAUGGACAAUACAAAGGGCAGCGAAACCGCGAGGUCAAGCAAAUCCCAUAAAGUUGUUCUCAGUUCGGAUUGUAGUCUGCAACUCGACUACAUGAAGCUGGAAUCGCUAGUAAUCGUAGAUCAGCAUGCUGCGGUGAAUACGUUCCCGGGUCU